AGUGAACGCUGGCGGUAGGCCUAACACAUGCAAGUCGAACGGCAGCACAGUAAGAGCUUGCUCUUACUGUUGGCGAGUGGCGGACGGGUGAGGAAUACAUCGGAAUCUACUUUUUCGUGGGGGAUAACGUAGGGAAACUUACGCUAAUACCGCAUACGAUCUACGGGUGAAAGCAGGGGAGCUUCGGACCUUUCCCGACUCAUAGAGCCGACGCCGCAUUAGCUAGUUGGCUAGGUAAAGGCCCACCAAGGCGACGAUCCGUAGCUGGUCUGAGAGGAUGAUCAGCCACACUGGAACUGAGACACGGUCCAGACUCCUACGGGAGGCGGCAGUAGGGAACAUUGGACAAUGGGCGAAAGCCUGAUCGAGCCAUACCGCGUGGGUGAAGAAGGCCUUCGGGUUGUAAAGCCCUGUUGUUGGGAAAGAAAAGCAGCAGGUUAAUACCCCGCUGUUCUGACGGUACCCAAAGAAUAAGCAACGGCUAACUUCGUG
rnacentral:rRNA from 1 species